AAAGUACUCCCUCCGUCCCAAAAUUCUUGUCUUAGAUUUGUCUAGAUACGGUUGUAUCAAGUCACAGAUACAUCCGUAUCUAGACAAAUCUAAGACAAGAAAUUUGGGACAGAGGGAGUAGUUG
rfam:Triticum aestivum genome assembly, contig: Triticum_aestivum_CS42_TGACv1_scaffold_405881_5BL